rnacentral:rRNA from 1 species
GACAGAGGUGCCAAGCGUUAGGCGGAAUCACUGGGCUUAAAGCGUGUGUAGGUGGAUUUGUAAGUACCUUGUGAAAUCCCAUGGCUCAACCAUGGAACUGCUCGGUAUACUGCGAAUCUUGAGCCACUUAGGGCUACCGGAACAAAUGGUGGAGCGGUGAAAUGCGUAGAUAUCAUUUGGAACGCCAAUGGUGAAAACAGGUAGCUGGGAGUGUGCUGACACUGAGACACGAAAGCCAGGGGAGCGAACGGG